rnacentral:rRNA from 1 species
UACGUAGGGCGCAAGCGUUAUCCGGAAUUAUUGGGCGUAAAGAGCUCGUAGGCGGUUUGUCGCGUCUGCCGUGAAAACCUAAGGCUCAACCUUGGGCUUGCAGUGGGUACGGGCAGACUAGAGUGCGGUAGGGGUGACUGGAAUUCCUGGUGUAGCGGUGGAAUGCGCAGAUAUCAGGAGGAACACCGAUGGCGAAGGCAGGUCACUGGGCCGCAACUGACGCUGAGGAGCGAAAGCAUGGGGAGCGAACAGG